rnacentral:lncRNA from 10 species
AGGCGGAGGUUGCAGUGAGCCGAGAUUGCACCAUUGCACUCUAGCAUGGUGACAGAGUGAGACUCCAUCUCAAAAAAAAAAAAAAGAAUCUUUUCACCAAUCCCACCUUCAUCCACCUCCAUGUUACAGUUUAAAAGAUAAAUGAAGCUUAGAAAAAGUAAAUAACUUAGUCAUAGUCACCCAGCUAUUUGAAAGAUUAGGACUGAGUGCUGAAUCCAAAACAUCACUAUAAAACAUAGCACAGGUCAUAUCAAACUUUUGUUAAAUUAAAAAUGCUUUUAUGAUGCAUACUAUGUGCAAUAAAGUGCUUAAGCCAGAAAUGCUAGGUUCUCCCAUCCCAAUUUUAGAGUUAGUAAUAUAUAACUACUACCUUUAAAAAUAUAAUAAAAGAAAUCUUGACUGGUUGCAGCCAACACUUUUGGAGGCCGAGGCGGUGGAUCACCUGAAGUCAGGAGUUCGAGACCAGACUGGCCAACGUUGCAAAACCCCAUCUCUACUAAAAAAAUACAAAAAUUAGCCAGGCAUGGUGGCACGCACCUGUAGUCCCAGCUUCUCGGGAGGCUGAGGCAGGAGGAUUGCUUGAACCCGGAAGGUGGAGGUGCAGUGAGCCAAGAUCACACCAGUGUACUCCAGCCUGUGUGACAGAGCAAGACUCUGUCUCACAAAAAAAAAAAAAAAGAAAAAAAAAGAACUCUUAAAUAUCAUACAUAGAAACAAAUAUUAUACUCUGCGUGAACUGAAUCAUGCUUGACUUCACUUAUUUUAACCAAGUAGUGGCUUUUAUACAUUCACUUGAAACUGUUCACACAGUUUUAGGCAACACAUCUUCUCUCUUUCUGCCAUCCUGUCCUAAUUUUAAUUUAAAUUUAACCACAUUACAUAAUAAAUUGUUUAUUUUAUUUAAAAGGAACCAUUUCAAGUAUGCCUUACAGAGCCCUGAGAGCUCUUUUUCCCUCCAAUCCAAUUAGCUUGGUUUAGAAAUGGGGAUCUCAAAAACUGAAAGAUAAUUCAGUCACAAAAGGGAAAACCUUCCCCUCCAUGAUUCUGAUCCACUACUCCCCACCCCGUCCACCCCCAAAACCCCUGUCCUCCAUCAAGAGGUUAAAGGACCAUGGCCUUCUGUUUCAUGAGAUGGAUUAACAUUGCUGGGCUGCUCAGAAGGAGAAAGGACUUUCCAAGCUGUAACAUGCUGGACGUGUUGAGAGUGCAUGCUGUCCAACUUACCUGUGGCACGGAGCUAGCUGA